rnacentral:rRNA from 1 species
UACGUAGGGAGCAAGCGUUGUCCGGAAUCAUUGGGCGUAAAGCGCGCGUAGGUGGCUUCGUAAGUCCGUUGUGAAAGUCAAAGGCUCAACCUUUGAAAGCCGAUGGAUACUGCGGAGCUAGAGUACGGAAGAGGCGAGUGGAAUUCCUGGUGUAGCGGUGGAAUGCGCAGAUAUCUGGAGGAACACCGGUGGCGAAGGCGGCAUCCUGGACCGGUAUUGACGCUGAGGCGCGAAAGCUAGGGGAGCAAACGGG